AAGAAAUAAACUUGAUGGGUUGUAGCUGGCUCUAACUUGAGUAUGUGCACACCUGUCAUUUUUAUCUUUCCACCAUGUGCACUUUGCAUAGGUCUGAAAAUCACUAGUCCUUUUUGGACUUUUGAUGUCUUGGGAACUGCUGUUCUUCACAGUCAGCUUUUCCUGUCUUCAGGCUCUAUGAUUUUUAAUACACCAUGUAUGUUAAAGAACGCUUUACAGGCUUUCAAAGCCUAUAAACAUAAUA
rnacentral:misc_RNA from 1 species